GUUUACGGCCACACCGCCUGGUAUACGCUUGAUCUCGGAAGAUAAGAUAGGUUGGGCCUGGUUAGUACUUUGAUGGGAGACCGCCUGGGAAUGCCAGGUGCUGUAAGCU
rnacentral:rRNA from 1 species